AUUGAACGCUGGCGGCGUGCUUAACACAUGCAAGUCGAUCGGUAACGCGGGGCAACCUGGCGACGAGAGGCGGACGGGUGAGUAACGCUUGGGAAUCUGCCUAUUAGUGGGGGACAACCCGGGGAAACUCGGGCUAAUACCGCAUACGCUCCACGGAGGAAAGCAGGGGAUCGCAAGACCUUGCGCUAAUAGAUGAGCCCAAGUCGGAUUAGCUAGUUGGUAGGGUAACGGCCUACCAAGGCGACGAUCCGUAGCUGGUCUGAGAGGACGACCAGCCACACUGGGACUGAGACACGGCCCAGACUCCUACGGGAGGCAGCAGUGGGGAAUAUUGGACAAUGGGGGAAACCCUGAUCCAGCGACGCCGCGUGGGUGAAGAAGGCCUGCGGGUUGUAAAGCCCUUUCGGUAGGGAAGAGAAGCCUCGACCUAACACGUCGGGGUAUUGACGUAACCUACAAAAGAAGCACCGGCUAACUCUGUGCCAGCCGCCGCAGUAAGAC
rnacentral:rRNA from 1 species